rnacentral:tRNA from 1 species
GGCCCCAUAGCUCAAUUGGCAGAGCAAGCGACUCUUAAUCGCUAGGUUCUAGGUUCGAUUCCUAGUGGGGUCA